rnacentral:misc_RNA from 1 species
GUCUUGUUUGAUGCGGUGUUUAUCAUCGAGUUUGUGUUGAGAGGCCUAAAUCCUAGAUAUAUAAAUGAUUUUAUAAUUGUUCAACCUGUGUUGAGAAAAAUGGUGUUACUGGAUUUGUUUCUGCUUGAAAAUCAGCUACCAUAUUUUGUUCUUGACAUAUUAUAUGCAGAAUUGAAAGAAAAAGAAAAAUUUUUUAAGCUUGUAUGCGACUGCUUCCUGAUAGACAAUCAAAAUCAAGUUUUUAAUUCCUUGGAGGAUGACAAAAUGUUGCAUUUUGUUGGUUUGAUGAGA